UGCGCUCAUCACCCUGUGACAUACCUAAAACGUUGCCUCGGCGGGAACAGACGGCCCCGUAACACGGGCCGCCCCCGCCAGAGGACCCCCUAACUCUGUUUCUAUAAUGUUUCUUCUGAGUAAACAAGCAAAUAAAUUAAAACUUUCAACAACGGAUCUCUUGGCUCUGGCAUCGAUGAAGAACGCAGCGAAAUGCGAUAAGUAAUGUGAAUUGCAGAAUUCAGUGAAUCAUCGAAUCUUUGAACGCACAUUGCGCCCGCCAGUAUUCUGGCGGGCAUGCCUGUUCGAGCGUCAUUACAACCCUCAGGCCCCCGGGCCUGGCGUUGGGGAUCGGCGGAAGCCCCCUGCGGGCACAACGCCGUCCCCCAAAUACAGUGGCGGUCCCGCCGCAGCUUCCAUUGCGUAGUAGCUAACACCUCGCAACUGGAGAGCGGCGCGGCCACGCCGUAAAACACCCAACU
rnacentral:rRNA from 1 species